CCUACGGGAGGCAGCAGUGAGGAAUAUUGGUCAAUGGGCGCGAGCCUGAACCAGCCAAGUCGCGUGAGGGAUGACGGCCCUACGGGUUGUAAACCUCUUUUGCCGGGGAGCAACGGGCGCCACGUGUGGCGCCCCUGAGAGUACCCGGAGAAAAAGCAUCGGCUAACUCCGUGCCAGCAGCAGCGGUAAUACGGAGGAUGCGAGCGUUAUCCGGAUUUAUUGGGUUUAAAGGGUGCGUAGGCGGAUCGUUAAGUCAGUGGUCAAAUGGAGGGGCCAAACCCCUUCCCGCCAUUGAAACUGGCGCUCUUGAGUGGAAGAGAAGUAUGCGGAAUGCGUGGUGUAGCGGUGAAAUGCAUAGAUAUCACGCAGAACCCCGAUUGCGAAGGCAGCAUGCCGGCUUCCGACUGACGCUGAAGCACGAAAGCGUGGGGAUCGAACAGGAUUAGAUACCCCAGUAGUC
rnacentral:rRNA from 1 species